rnacentral:rRNA from 1 species
AUACGUAGGGGGCAAGCGUUAUCCGGAAUUAUUGGGCGUAAAGAGUGCGUAGGUGGUUUUGUAAGCGCGAGGUGAAAGGCUAUGGCUCAACCAUAGUAAGCCUUGCGAACUGCAAGACUUGAGUGCAGGAGAGGAAAGUGGAAUUCCUAGUGUAGCGGUGAAAUGCGUAGAUAUUAGGAGGAACACCAGUGGCGAAGGCGACUUUCUGGACUGUAACUGACACUGAGGCACGAAAGCGUGGGGAGC